GUUACCAAAAAUGUCCUCUCUUGUACUUAUUAAUAUUGGUAUGUCUCUUUAUUAAUAAUCAAUUCCUUCAGAGUUCACCAUUUACUCUAUUGGUCCCAAUUGACAACAUUUAGAGCACAUAGGAGCUUCAAUUGUUACAACUAACCAAAGAUAUAAUACAUAGGAAUUCAAUAGGUCUCAACUGACCACUAAUUGAGCAUUUAAGGGAAU
rnacentral:lncRNA from 1 species